CCGUAGGUGAACCUGCGGAAGGAUCAUUGCCGUAACCUGCUCAGCAGAACGACCAGCGAACAUGUUAACAACCCACGGGCGUAGGUUGUGUUAGGUGCCUUGUGUGCUUGCUCGCCCCUUGCCUGCGUCAUACGACGUUCGUUUGGCAAAAAAACGAACCCCGGCGCGAAAAGCGUCAAGGAACAUAAACUAAUGUGUGCUCUACCCUUUGGCCGGUUAGCCGGCUGAAGGGUUUGAUGCCAUGUCUUAACAAUAAACGACUCUCGGCAACGGAUAUCUUGGCUCUCGCAUCGAUGAAGAACGUAGCGAAAUGCGAUACUUGGUGUGAAUUGCAGAAUCCCGUGAACCAUCGAGUUUUUGAACGCAAGUUGCGCCCGAAGCUCUGGCUUAGGGCACGUCUGCUUGGGCGUCACGCAUCGCGUCUCCCCAAACCACCUAGUGUGAGGGGAGGAGGAUGGUUUCCCGUCCCUCACCGGGGACGGUUGGCCUAAAUUUGGAGCCAGAGGCAUUGAGCUUUAGUGGCGAUAGGUGGUGAACAAGGCCUAGGCCGCGCAAGCAACCCGUCACGUAGCACUUUGUGCUCGAAGGACCCUGUGAUGUCGCCUCGUUGCGAUUGAACGCUGCGACCCCAGGUCAGGCGGGGCUA
rnacentral:rRNA from 1 species